GAUGAACGCUCGCGGCAGGCCUAAUACAUGCAAGUCGAACGGGAUUGCGGUAGUAGCUUGCUACUACUGCAUGAGAGUGGCGCACGGGUGCGUAACGCGUGAGCAACCUACCCAUAUCAGGGGGAUAGCCCGGCGAAAGUCGGAUUAACACCGCAUAACAUCAACAGUUCGCAUGUUCAGUUGAUUAAAUAUUUAUAGGAUAUGGAUGGGCUCGCGUGACAUUAGCUAGUUGGUAGGGUAACGGCUUACCAAGGCAACGAUGUCUAGGGGCUCUGAGAGGAGAAUCCCCCACACUGGUACUGAGACACGGACCAGACUCCUACGGGAGGCAGCAGUAAGGAAUAUUGGUCAAUGGGCGCAAGCCUGAACCAGCCAUGCCGCGUGCAGGAGGACUGCCCUAGGGGUUGUAAACUGCUUUUAUCAGGGAAUAAACCCCUUUACGAGUAGAGGGUUGAAUGUACCUGAAGAAUAAGGAUCGGCUAACUCCGUG
rnacentral:rRNA from 1 species